UACGUAGGGGCAAGCGUUGUCCGGAAUUAUUGGGCGUAAAGAGCUCGUAGGCGGCUUGUCACGUCGGAUGUGAAAUUCCAGGGCUCAACCCUGGACCUGCAUUCGAUACGGGCGGACUAGAGUUCGGUAGGGGAGACUGGAAUUCCUGGUGUAGCGGUGAAAUGCGCAGAUAUCAGGAGGAACACCGGUGGCGAAGGCGGGUCUCUGGGCCGAUACUGACGCUGAGGAGCGAAAGCGUGGGGAGCGAACAGG
rnacentral:rRNA from 1 species